UACGUAGGGUGCGAGCGUUAAUCGGAAUUACUGGGCGUAAAGCGCGCGUAGGUGGUUCAGUAAGUUGGAUGUGAAAUCCCCGGGCUCAACCUGGGAACUGCAUCCAAAACUGCUGAGCUAGAGUAUGGUAGAGGGUGGUGGAAUUUCCUGUGUAGCGGUGAAAUGCGUAGAUAUAGGAAGGAACACCAGUGGCGAAGGCGACCACCUGGACUGAUACUGACACUGAGGUGCGAAAGCGUGGGGAGCAAACAGG
rnacentral:rRNA from 1 species